rnacentral:misc_RNA from 1 species
UCCGGUUUGUCACCGGCAGUCUCCCAUGAGUCCCCAACUGAAUGCUGGCAACUAAAGACAAGGGUUGCGCUCGUUAUGGGACUUAACCCGACAUCUCACGACACGAGCUGACGACAGCCAUGCAGCACCUGAUACUAGUGUCCCGAAGGCCUACCGUAUCUCUACGAUAUUCACUAGCACUUCAAACCCAGGUAAGGUUUUUCGCGUUGCAUCGAAUUGAACCACAUGCUCCACCGCUUGUGCGGGCCCCCGUCAAUUUCUUUGAGUUUUAAUCUUGCGACCGUACUUCCCAGGCGGAACACUUAACGCGUUAGCUUCGGCACUGGAGGGGUCAAUACCCCGAACACCUAGUACCCAUCGUUUACGGCGUGGACUAC